UACAGAGGGGGCAAGCGUUGUUCGGAAUUACUGGGCGUAAAGCGCGCGUAGGCGGCUUUGUAAGUUAGAGGUGAAAGCCCGGGGCUCAACCCCGGAACUGCCUUUAAGACUGCAUCGCUUGAAUCCGGGAGAGGUGAGUGGAAUUCCGAGUGUAGAGGUGAAAUUCGUAGAUAUUCGGAAGAACACCAGUGGCGAAGGCGGCUCACUGGACCGGUAUUGACGCUGAUGUGCGAAAGCGUGGGGAGCAAACAGGG
rnacentral:rRNA from 1 species